rnacentral:rRNA from 1 species
AGCCUACGGGGGGCAGCAGUGGGGAAUAUUGCACAAUGGGGGGAACCCUGAUGCAGCAAUGCCGCGUGGGUGAAGAAGCACUCCGGUGCGUAAAGCUCUAUCAGCAGGGAAGAAAAUGACGGUACCUGACUAAGAAGCCCCAGCUAACUACGUGCCAGCAGCCGCGGUAAUACGUAGGGGGCAAGCGUUAUCCGGAUUUACUGGGUGUAAAGGGAGCGUAGACGGCAGAGCAAGUCUGAAGUGAAAGCCCGCGGCCCAACUGCGGGACUGCUUUGGAAACUGCCCGGCUAGAGUGCUGGAGGGGG